GGCAAGCGGAGAGUUUCCCAAGCCGAGGGCCCUACUUAGUUUUGAUUUUGCCCCCCGCGGCUCCAGGGAGCAGAGGGAGAGGGGACCCGGGCCUCGCCCAAACUUCUCCCGCGCCCCCUGCGGGGGCGGGGCCUCAAGGGCGGGGCUAUGUGAAGCCGGGAGGCGGGGCGGGGUAGCUGAGAGUGGCCCCCUAGUGGGGCCAUGGAGAAGCUGGAAUCUCUGCGGGCUGCUGGCGGCCUUAACGGGGAAUCUCCUGGAAACAACAGAGUCGAGGCAGGCGCCGGGCUGCCCUCCGUAGUCGUGUUUCACGGUUCUGGGCCCCCCAUGCACUCCGGGGGAAUCGUAACUCGCAGUCCUGAAUCUGGCCAGCUCUCCGAGGGGACAGAAGUCCUCGGUUCCGGGCUCAGCCAGCACCCUGGGGAGGUCGCGGGCCACAGCCUUGGGUCUGGCACAUACCCUGGCGGAACCAGUGUAUUCGGGACGUCCAACCUGGGGUUCUCGGGGCCUGGAAUGUACAACUCGGAGGACAUUCCGCGCUCCGGGUCAACUCGCAUGUACCCCGACAAACUCUGUGAGGACCGGCCCCGGAGCAUCCUAAAAAACAGCAGCUACGCUGUGAUGUAUAAAUCCCCCAGGGCGGAGAGGAAAAAGUCUCAGCACUGGGAUGAAAUGAAUAUCCUGGCCACCUACCACCCUACCGACAAGGACUAUGGAUUUAUGACGGUGGAUGAGCCCAGCACUCCCUACCACAGACUGCGGGGCAGCGAUGAGGACCUGCUCGCUGGGACCUCCCACACAGUGACUCCUGAGGAGCUAGCAGAGAGGUUUGCAACAAUGGACAAUUUCUGCCCCAAGAUCCUCCUGUACGGUGAUAACAGAAGCUCAGGGUCUUCAGACACCUUUUCCAAGACACAAUCCAGUGAUUUUGAAAAGCACCGCAAGGCACACUACAAUGAAGGAAAGUUCCUCAAGCUUCAGAGAAACCUGCCCUUGGAUAAUAACAAGAAAAGCAGUGUGGGUAGUGUCAGUGUGAGCAGUGGGGGUCGAGGUGUGGUGUUGGACCCAGAGCCCAGGCCUGCGGAGAGAGGAGGGGCAGGAGGCCUGACCAGAGGAGUCAAAGAUGAGUUUGGCCUGGUGACCAGAAACGACAUCUUGGAAGCCAAAGGUAGCCAUAAGACUCAGAUUGAUUUGGGUGACUCCUCAGAUGCCCUUGCCUUCAGAAAUCAGUCCCCAGCUUCAGCCACCACUGUCGUGUUGGGGAAGGAGACAGAUCUGCAACGCAAGGAGUAUUACAGAAAAGGAAGAUACCUGAGGUGCUCUCCCCACCCUGAGCUUGAGGAGGACACAGAAGAUGAGCAGCAGGCCAGCUCCACAGGCUUGAACUGGGUGAUUGAAGAUCCCAUCAGCACCGAAGUCCGUCUGCUGGACCACACCGGAAGCUCCUCAGAGGAUCCUGAGGCCACAGAGAACUCCCUGAAGGUGACAGUGACACCAUCGAAGCCUGGUGAGGGCACCAGGCCACCGUCUCACCGGACUUGGCAAGCUCCCAUGCCCCCCACCCCGACUCCCCACCAGUGGAUGGACCACAGGUACUGCCCUGUCCUCCAAAGACAGUGGGUCCCGAGCAGUGACUGAUUGGUGUCAGUGGCUGGCAACCAAGGGGCUGAACUGGCAAAGCACAGAAGUCUCAGAGAGGGAACCUAGAAGCAUCCCAAAUUCCUCAAACCAGAGCCAGCACAGACGUGAGCCCCGGCAAGAUGAAACCCUGCGGCUUCGAUGGACUCAGGAGGAGGAAACCAGACAAUGGAAGAUGUAGCCAGCUGGGGAUGGGGUGGGGGCCAGCCUUCCUCUGACCUCACCACCCUCAAUCGGUGUGGACAAUAAAGAGAAGACUAGCAGGA